ACCAAAGAGUCACGACAGUGCCGCAAAUCGUCCGAUUGACGUGAAACCCGUAACGCGAAAUGGGUAAAGAGCACAUGUGCCGCAAAACGAUGGUGUACGUGCGCACAAGAGUCCGCGCGCCACAGUUCAAAGAAGCAAGAUGGUGGGCUCACCACCCUUGGUCGCUAAGUAUGUGAGCGUUAAGGUCGUAAAAGCGUGUGGAAACGUUGUUGUUGACUGGUACGUGCUCGAUGUAGGCCAGGGAGAGCUAACUUUCGCGUAACUGUACGACAGACUUGUAGCGGCGAGUGAGUUUCGACCAUACAAUUUCAAGCAAGUUUUGUCAAGAUCAGCUACAGUGCAAAUUCUUCUGCAAAAUUAUGACGAGAAGGUCGGGAGGCAUUUGAUGUGGUGUUUCAUCCGUAUGGUGAUCGACAAGACAGCUUCUACGACUGAAGCUGUUCCUAGGGCUAAGACUGCUUUUGAGGUAUGAUGAAAGCAUCAAGAGAACAAGGUCAGCAGGAGUGGAUGUUUCCAGCCUACGCUGGGACUGGGAGCACACAACAAUGUAGCAAUAACAACACAGGGCAGUGACAUGCACUUCACCAGUAGCACAGUACUACUAUUCAGCCAGACUGAAGUCAGGGGUGAUGAAGACGAUGCUGCCUUUGGUGUGCUGGAACUGCGGCGAGGAGGAAACGCUGCCCAUACCGACAGAGAAGACUGCUGCAUACCAGACAAUAAACCCUGUUUGUCAGGUCUGCAAAAUGUGAUGAAAGAAACAGAACGGGACAACUGCUGUUCCACCUGAUUCAUUAC